rnacentral:rRNA from 1 species
UACGUAGGGCGCAAGCGUUGUCCGGAAUUAUUGGGCGUAAAGCGCUCGUAGGCGGUGUGUCACGUCGGCCGUGAAAACCUGCAGCUUAACUGUGGGCGUGCGGUCGAUACGGGCAUCACUGGAGUUCGGCAGGGGAGACUGGAAUUCCUGGUGUAGCGGUGAAAUGCGCAGAUAUCAGGAGGAACACCGGUGGCGAAGGCGGGUCUCUGGGCCGAUACUGACGCUGAGGAGCGAAAGCGUGGGGAGCAAACAGG